CAUCGAAUUCGGAACUCAACC
rnacentral:snRNA from 1 species